rnacentral:rRNA from 1 species
GAAGGAUCAUUAAUGA